GACGAACGCUGGCGGCGUGCUUAACACAUGCAAGUCGAACGGAAAGGCCCUGCUUUUGUGGGGUGCUCGAGUGGCGAACGGGUGAGUAACACGUGAGUAACCUGCCCUUGUCUUUGGGAUAACUUCAGGAAACUGCGGCUAAUACCGGAUAGGAGCUCCUGCUGCAUGGUGGGGGUUGGAAAGUUUCGGCGGUUGGGGAUGGACUCGCGGCUUAUCAGCUUGUUGGUGGGGUAGUGGCUUACCAAGGCUUUGACGGGUAGCCGGCCUGAGAGGGUGACCGGCCACAUUGGGACUGAGAGACGGCCCAGACUCCUACGGGAGGCAGCAGUGGGGAAUAUUGCACAAUGGGCGGAAGCCUGAUGCAGCAACGCCGCGUGCGGGAUGACGGCCUUCGGGUUGUAAACCGAUUUCGCCUGUGACGAAGCGUGAGUGACGGUAAUGGGUAAAGAAGCACCGGCUAACUACGUG
rnacentral:rRNA from 1 species